rnacentral:rRNA from 1 species
UACGUAGGGGGCAAGCGUUGUCCGGAUUCAUUGGGCGUAAAGAGCGUGUAGGCGGCCAGGUAGGUCGGUUGUGAAAACUGGAGGCUCAACCUUCAGAGGUCGACCGAAACCAUCUGGCUAGAGUCCGGGAGAGGAGAGUGGAAUUCCUGGUGUAGCGGUGAAAUGCGCAGAUAUCAGGAAGAACACCCGUGGCGAAGGCGGUUCUCUGGGACGGUACUGACGCUGAGACGCGAAAGCGUGGGGGAGCGAACAGG